GACGUAGGGAGCGAGCGUUGUCCGGAUUCAUUGGGCGUAAAGCGCGCGUAGGCGGCCUCGCAAGUCGGUUGUGAAAUCCCGGGGCUCAACCCCGGGACUGCGUCCGAUACUGCGAGGCUGGAGGUAGGUAGGGGAGAUCGGAAUUCCUGGUGUAGCGGUGAAGUGCGCAGAUAUCAGGAGGAACACCGGUGGCGAAGGCGGAUCUCUGGGCCUUACCUGACGCUGAGGCGCGAAAGCUAGGGGAGCGAACAGGA
rnacentral:rRNA from 1 species